AUGUGGAUUUUUUUCUUCAAGUACUUGGUAGACGAGCAUGGCCAUCUGAAGGGAUUGUUCUGGGCUGAUAGUCAAUCUCGACUUGACUACGAGGCUUUCAGAGACGUCAUUGUUUUCGAUAGCACAUACAGAACCAACAAAUACAAUCUGCCAUUCGUGCCAUUUGUCGGGUUGAAUCACCACCGGAGCACUAUCAUUUUUGGCUGUGGUAUAAUUUCUCAUGAAACAAGCCAGGCGUACGAGUGGAUGUUGCAGACCUUUUCUGAUUGCAUGGCACAGAAGCAUCCGAUAUCUGUGAUCACAGAUGGGGACCUUGCAAUGCAGAGAGAAAUCAGGGUGGUCUGGCCAGACUCAAACCAUAGACUAUGUAUAUGGCACAUUCAGCAGAACAUUGUAUGCCAUCUGCAUGAUGACGAUGUAAAGGAGGAAUUCAGACCUUUCAUUUAUGACACUUCUUCCAUUGAAGAGCAUGAGAUAGAAUGGAUACAAUUCUUACAACGGAAUAAAGUAACCAGUGAGGAGUCUUGGCUGAAUCAGAUGUAUCAGAUGAGAAAGUUGUGGUGUGCUCCAUAUCUUGAGGGGCGUUGUUUCCUAGGAUUGAGCAGCAAUCAGAGGAGUGAGAGCUUGAACUCUGUGCUACAUACGCAUCUUGAGGGUAAGAUGUCGUUGUUUGAAAUGCUAGAGCACUAUAAGCGUUGCCUUGCAUCGCGACGGAUUAACGAAGCUCUCCAUGACGUCGAAGCCUUGCAGUCCGUUCCAUUUACAAAGGAAAAUACGUCGCCGCUUGAGAAACACGCCGCAACAGUUUUCACACCUAGUGUCUUUAAGAUGGUCUUAUGGAGCAUAGAUGCUGUCAGCAAAUGUCAGAUCAGAGAGAUACUAGAUGGAUCAGAAGAUUCCACUUAUGUUGUGUCCAAGAAGGAAAGAAUGGAUAAAAAGUUUGGAGUGCGCAUUGAAGAGCAAGGAGGUCUUUUGCACAGGGUGAGUUGUUCUUGCCGUAAGUUGGAAUGCGCAGGCACACCAUGUUCCCACAUUUUUUACAUAUUGGGGAUU
rnacentral:rRNA from 1 species